UUCUCCAUUCUUCCUCCCCUUUGCCAAACCCUAAUUUCUACUUUCGCCUUGUUUCUUUUUCUCUUUUUUCUUCUUCUUCUUCUAAUGAGAAACAACACAUCUUCCGAAUCGGUUCCUGCAUUUCUGUGCUUCUCGGGAUUUUAUUUUCAGGCUAGGUUUCUGUGGGUUUCGAGGAUUUUUCCUUGUGUUAGAGAUAGAGUACUGGAGCUGCAUAUCGCCGGUGUCGGUCCCGGCGAGGUUUAGUGGUGGUAGUGGUUGUGUUUUUGGAGUUAAUUGGAGUUAAUUGGAGAGGAUCGGAAGGGGUUGUUUCAUGCGUUUUCUGAUUCAAGGAUAAAAUUAGCUGCGUGCAUGGUCUUGGAAAAAGAUCUGCUGCUUCUGAUAGAAGCCAAAGCAACUCAUUUUUAGAAACGGAUUCAGGUUCUGUUGGUGGAAGUGAAAGGAAAGCUAGAAACUAUUGAAAACGGCGAGAAAAGUAGAACAUAUGGCAGCGAGGGGUAGUCGGGAAAGAACUUCACAAACGACAGGACAACUGGGAUUUGGGUCUGCAUCGUCCAUAGAUUUUUUGGAAAUAUCAGAUCUCGCUCAAGUUGGAGCAAAUGUUAACCGACCGGAAGCAGACACGAUUUGUUUGGCAAAUCCUGGGCGUGGGAUUUACCAGCUUCAGUUUAAAGAUGAUAAUAGCGAUGUUUCCAGCGUCUGUUCUUCCAAAUCAGAGAAGAGUUGCGGUUCUCAAGGUCCCACA